rnacentral:tRNA from 1 species
GGCUGGUAGUUUAAUAAAAACUUUCGGCUGUUAACCGAAAAAUGAAGAAAUUUUCUCAGCCUU